GACGAACGCUGGCGGCGUGCUUAACACAUGCAAGUCGAACGGAAAGGCCCUGCUUUUGUGGGGUGCUCGAGUGGCGAACGGGUGAGUAACACGUGAGUAACCUGCCCUUGACUUUGGGAUAACUUCAGGAAACUGGGGCUAAUACCGGAUAGGAGCUCCUGCUGCAUGGUGGGGGUUGGAAAGUUUCGGCGGUUGGGGAUGGACUCGCGGCUUAUCAGCUUGUUGGUGGGGUCGUGGCUUACCAAGGCUUUGACGGGUAGCCGGCCUGAGAGGGUGACCGGCCACAUAGGGACUGAGAUACGGCCCAGACUGCUACGGGAGGGAGCAGUGAGGAAGAUUGCACAAUGGGCGGAAGCCAGAUGCAGCAACGCCGCGUGCGGGAUGACGGCCUGCGGGUUGGAAACCGCUUUCGCCUGUGACGAAGCGUGAGUGACGGUAAUGGGUAAAGAAGCACCGGCUAACUACGUG
rnacentral:rRNA from 1 species